rnacentral:lncRNA from 1 species
AUGGAAAAACCAAGAGAGUUCCAGAAAAACAUCUAUUUCUGCUUUAGAGACUAUGUCAAAGCCUUUGACUGUGUGAAUCACAUUAAACUGUGGAAAAUUCUAAAAGAGAUGGGGGUACCAGACCACCUAACCUGCCUCUUGAGAAAUCUGUAUGCAGGUCAGGAAGCAGCAGUUAGAACUGGACAUGGAACAACAGACUGGUUCCAAAUAGGAAAAGGAGUACAUCAAGGCUGUAUAUUGUCACCCUGCUUAUUUAACUUCUAUGCAAAAUACAUCAUGAGAAACGUUGGGUUGGAAGAAACACAAGCUGGAAUCAAGAUUGCUGGGAGAAAUAUCAAUAACCUCAGAUAUGCAGAUGACACCACCCUUAUGGCAGAAAGUGAUGAGGAACUAAAAAGCCUCUUGAUGAAAGUGAAAGAGGAGAGAGAAAAAGUUGGCCUAAAGCUCAACAUUCAGAAAAGGAAGAUCAUGGGAUCCAGUCCCGUCACUUCAAGGGAAAUAGAUGGGGAAACAGUGGAAACAGUGUCAGACUUUAUUUUGGGGGGCUCCAAAAUAACUGCAGAUGAUGAUCACAGCCAUGAAAUUAAAAGACACUUACUCCUUGGAAGAAAAGUUAUGACCAACCUAGAUAGUAUAUUCAAAAGCAGAGACAUUACUUUGCCGACUAAGGUCCGUCUAGUCAAGGCUAUGGUUUUUCCUGUGGUCAUGUAUGGAUGUGAGAGUUGGACUGUGAAGAAGGCUGAGCGCCGAAGAAUUGAUGCUUUUGACCUGUGGUGUUGGAGAAGACUCUUGAGAGUCCCUUGGUCUGCAAGGAGAUUUAACCAGUCCAUUCUGAAGGAGAUCAACCCUGGGAUUUCUUUGGAAGGAAUGAUGCUAAAGCUGAAACUCCAGUACUUUGGCCACCUCAUGAGAAGAGUUGACUCAUUGGAAAACACUCUGAUGCUGGGAGGGAUUGGGGGCAGGAGGAGAAGGGGAAGACCAAGGAUGAGAUGGCUGGAUGGCAUCACUGACUCAACGGACGUGAGUCUUAGUGAACUCCGGGAGAUGGUGAUGAACAGGGAGGCCUGGCGUGCUGCGAUUCUUGGGUUCGCAAAGAGUUGA